CCUACGGGAGGCAGCAGUAGGGAAUCUUUCACAAUGGGCGAAAGCCUGAUGGAGCAACGCCGCGUGCAGGAUGAAGGCCUUCGGGUUGUAAACUGCUUUUAUAAGCGAGAAAUAUGAUGGUAACUUAUGAAUAAGGAUCGGCUAACUACGUGCCAGCAGCCGCGGUCAUACGUAGGAUCCGAGCAUUAUCCGGAGUGACUGGGUGUAAAGAGUUGCGUAGGUGGCAUAAUAAGUAGCUAGUUAAAUCUGGUGGCUCAACCAUUCAGACUAUUAGCUAAACUGUUACGCUCGAGACCGUUAGGGGUAACUGGAAUUUCUAGUGUAGGAGUGAAAUCCGUAGAUAUUAGAAGGAACACCAAUAGCGUAGGCAGGUUGCUGGGACGGUUCUGACACUAAGGCACGAAAGCGUAGGGAGCAAACGGGAUUAGAUACCCGAGUAGUC
rnacentral:rRNA from 1 species